UGCGUCAUCACGCCGGGCGACGUCCAUACGUUUCGCAAUAGCAUGGCGGGAAAUGGCGGGGCAUGGUCGAGGUUCUCAUGGCAAUUUCAAAAAAGGUGAGGCAACGUCGAUGGACAGUGUGCGUGUUGGAAGAGUCCUCCUCAGUGUAACAGCCACAAAGUGUUACAGCUUGGAAGGACACCAAUGGGCGCGUCAUAUUAGUGCGGAUUCAGCAACUAUUUUCAGAGACAACUGUUGGUGGUUUAACCUGAGGAUCACCACACCUUGAGCAAGAGGAGAGAUGGAGAGGAGAAUCCUUCAUGGUAGCCUCAAGGCGACAUGUAAUGACAGCAGAUUUAAAGAAUAGAGGACCUGAAGAUAUAACUAUUUACAAUAUUACCUAACAUGAACAUGGAGGUGAUAUCAUCAGGAAUGGGAGUAAGAGACCAAUUCUAGUUUUUCCAGUAAUAAGAUAACAUAUGCAAUGUUUAGAAAACAGUUUAUUUCUUUCUACAUGCCAUGGCAUAUAGCGCUUCAAUUGAGCAUUUGAUUUUGAUUUCUGUGUAUACUGUAUUAAAUAGUAGCACAGGGAUUGCAAGCAAAAGUCUUAGAGUCCUUAUUUACAGUUUUUCAUAACAUAAAGAUAUAUAAGACAAUGCUAUUCAAUAUUUUAACAUGUUAAAUGGCAGUCCACGGUGAGAAUGCUGUGUGGAGACACAGGGAGAUCAAGCCCAGUGCGGGAGAAAGAUUGAGCCCACGUGAGGAAAGCCCAGCACGGAGUGACUGCAGGUCCAUGGCUAACGAAGGAUCGUAAUUUGGAACUUUUAACUUUAUUUCUUAUUUACUGCUUUAUACUGCUUUAUUUUUCUACUUUUUCCCUAAUAUUUUGUACCUGUGGAACCUUAUACCUAAGAUGGUGCCGUGAAUGGCGACAUUAUAAACUUUUCACUGUGCUCCUGUAUCCCUAUAUUUGCAUACACAUGACAAUAAAACUUUAUGAAUAAAACCUGUUAUUUCCAAUGAAAGAGAGAAAACAAAAAAAAAAUCAUAAUUUACUAACAUUCUGGUAUUGGUGAGAAAGGACCACGCAGUGUGUCAAUAAGAAAAGCUGACGUACAUUGUGACUAAUGCCACUGCAGUCUCAUGCUGCAUGUAUCCUGCAGCAUUCUAGCUGAAGGAGGUGCUGACUUCAUCAGUAGUUCAACUGACAGAGAACCACCUUGAGGCAAUUUCUUCAUUGCACCACAGGAAGUACAACUGCUGCAUCAAUAUAUAAGUUUCAGCCUAUGGCAGAGAGCAUUUCCCAAUAAUGGAAAUUGCUGCUAGCUAUCAAAUGUUUCUGGUUCCUAAAGCCAAUCUACCCAGUAAGACUAGUAAUGCUGUCCUGACAGUGCAUAUUCCCAGCUAGUGCAAAUUUUGAACAGUUGCCUCAGAGUUGUUCUUGUGUUGCUGUUGAUGUUAAGGAAUCCACUCUGUUGUAUAAACAGGAAUACUUACCACUUGGAGUUAAGCCAAUCUGAAGUUAAAAUGGUUCCGAUUGUAUAAGCUUGUCCAUUAAUUUUAAAUUUGGUUCACUUAGCCUGUUUAUUUCCCCUUCUCUUCAAAUAUUUGUUCCAUUCUCCAGCAAUCCUUGGCCUCAAUGAACGCACAAAUCCAUUAAAAAUGUAACAAAUAAGUUCAGUGCCUUGCCUGUACUAUUCAAUGUAUUUACUCUGAACAUUACUCCCUUAGUACACCACUCAAUUAAUGACAUUUUUAAAAAUAGACUAAACAGUGGGAGCUGUUUGUGUCUCUCAGUAGUCUAUGCUAUAGCCAUAUAUUGAUCAAGUGAAAUACUGUAUACAAUGUGAUGAAUGCCUGUUAUUUAUAAUUUCCAUCAUUAUAUCCAGUAGAAAAUAUUCCAAAAAUAUUUCAGAAAAUAUAUUUUUGUUGGUAUUAAUGUACUAAUUUUACAGAAUUAGAUAAUAGAUUGUAUAUUGAUAUUUGUCAUUUUAAAAAUUACAUCAAAAAUCAUUACAUCAUUUUCCAAUUCUAAGAGGCUGCAGGAUAUUUGAACAGAAAGAAUAGCUUACAAUUUGAACCUGGAUGAUUCUAAUGCAUGCCAGUCUGCCUACUUCAGACUGCUGACCAGGAAAAAAAAUUCUAUAAACCAUUAGCACUUUGUAACUGCUAUUUUCCUCUAGGCUUCCUGCCAGUGACCUUACAAUGUCCCUCCAAAGUUACAGUAAGCAAUGAGAUUUCAACACUGAAAGAUAAAAGAAUAAUGCUAAACAAAUAACCAUUAACUAACUGUGUUAAAUGUCCUCUAGUCUGUAUGUAAUGUUAAGAAAAUGGUUUAUUUAUAUCUAUGUGCCGUGGCUGUACAUCUGAAAUGGAGCAACUGGCUUUUAUGUAUAUUGUCUCCACUGUAUUAAAAAGUAACACAAGGAUUAUGA